AGAGUUUGAUCCUGGCUCAGGACGAACGCUGGCGGCGUGCUUAACACAUGCAAGUCGAACGGAGUUUAAGAGGAAGCUUGCGAAUCUUAAACUUAGUGGCGGACGGGUGAGUAACGCGUGGAUAACCUGCCUACAUGACCGGGACAACACCGGGAAACUGGUGCUAAUACCGGAUACGCUCAUAGAUACACAUGUAUAUAUGAGGAAAGGAACAAUCCGCAGGUAGAUGGGUCCGCGUCCCAUUAGCUAGUUGGCGGUGUAAAAGACCACCAAGGCGACGAUGGGUAGCCGGCCUGAGAGGGUGGACGGCCACACUGGAACUGAGACACGGUCCAGACUCCUACGGGAGGCAGCAGUGGGGAAUCUUCCGCAAUGGGCGCAAGCCUGACGGAGCAACGCCGCGUGAGUGAAGAAGGCUUUCGGGUUGUAAAACUCUGUCUUCAGGGAAGAAACAAAUGACGGUACCUGAGGAGGAAGCCCCGGCUAACUACGUGCCAGCAGCCGCGGUAAAACGUAGGGGGCGAGCGUUGUCCGGAAUUACUGGGCGUAAAGGGCGCGUAGGCGGUUUCUUAAGUCAGAGGUGAAAACUACCGGCUUAAUCGGUAGCCUGCCUUUGAAACUGGGAGACUUGAGGGCAGGAGAGGGGAGUGGA
rnacentral:rRNA from 1 species